rnacentral:rRNA from 1 species
AAUAGAUACCCUGGUAGUCCACGCCGUAAACGAUGAGUGCUAAGUGUUGGAGGGUUUCCGCCUUUCAGUGCUGCAGCUAACGCAUUAAGCACUCCGCCUGGGGAGUACGGUCGCAAGACUGAAACUCAAAGGAAUUGACGGGGGCCCGCACAAGCGGUGGAGCAUGUGGUUUAAUUCGAAGCAACGCAAAGAACCUUACCAGGUCUUGACAUCUCCUGACCGCCCUGGAGACAGGGUCUUCCCUUCGGGGACAGGAUGACAGGUGGUGCAUGGUUGUCGUCAGCUCGUGUCGUGAGAUGUUGGGUUAAGUCCCGCAACGAGCGCAACCCUUGGUUCUAGUUGCCAGCAUUCAGUUGGGCACUCUAGAGCGACUGCCGGCGACAAGUCGGAGGAAGGUGGGGAUGACGUCAAAUCAUCAUGCCCCUUAUGACCUGGGCUACACACGUGCUACAAUGGAUGGUACAAAGGGCAGCGAAGCGGCGACGCAUAAGCGAAUCCCAGAAAACCAUUCUCAGUUCGG